UACGAAGGGGGCUAGCGUUGUUCGGAAUUACUGGGCGUAAAGCGCACGUAGGCGGAUACUUAAGUUAGGGGUGAAAUCCCGGGGCUCAACCCCGGAACUGCCUUUAAUACUGGGUAUCUCGAGUUCGAGAGAGGUGAGUGGAAUUCCGAGUGUAGAGGUGAAAUUCGUAGAUAUUCGGAGGAACACCAGUGGCGAAGGCGGCUCACUGGCUCGAUACUGACGCUGAGGUGCGAAAGCGUGGGGAGCAAACAGGA
rnacentral:rRNA from 1 species